GAAAAUUUUUUCUUUAUAUAUUGUUACUAUAUGAAUAUAUAUUAUGGAUAAAUAUGUGUUACAUUAUAUUAUGUGAUAAAAAUUAUACAAUAUAGCUCAUAUAUAUAUACAGAUAUAUAUGCCCAUAUAUAUAUUUUUGGAUAUAUAUUUAUAUCCUUAUAUAUUCACAUAUGUAUUCAUAUAUAGAAAAGAAUGUUUAUAUCUUUUUUUAUAUGUCAUUAUAUGUCCAUAUACAUUUGUAUGUGCUUCAUUUUAUACACUUCAUUGUAUACUAGAAUGGGAGGCCCGUUUUCCCUAAGCAGUUCCUUGUGAAUUUGAGAAGAAAUGUGUGUUGUUCUUUUGGUGAAUCAAGAGCUUUUGGUGUGCAGAAGCUCCAAAUAUAAUAUGUAAUUAUAAUAUAUGUUGGAAUAUACGUAUUAUACAUAAUACAUGUUAUAUAUCAUAUGAUAUGUAUUUAAUAUAUAUUAUAUAUGUAUAAUGUAAUAUACAUGUUAGGUAAUAUAUUAUAUGUAAUAUAUAUUGUGUGCAAAUAUAUAAUGUAUAAGGAUAUUGUAUAUUAGGAUAUAUAUAAUGUAUAUUAUAUAUACUUCAUUAUGUACUAAAAUGGGAGGCAGGUUUUUCCUAAGCAGUUCCCAGCUUGACUUUUCCCUUUGGCUUAGUGAUUUUUGGAUUCCAAGUUUUACUUUCCUUUUACUGUGUGAGUGUAUUUUUUAAAAGAACAUAUAUUAUAUAUCCUUAUAUAUUGUAUAUUAUAUAUAUCUUAAAUAUAUUGUGUAUUCUUACAUAUAUAUUCUCAUAUAUCCAUAUAUAUUUUAUAUAUCCUUAUAUAUAUGUACUGUAUUCUUUAUAACAAAUAUUUUAUAUAUUCUUACAUAUAUGUAAUAUGUAUUUUUAUAUAUUACACAUAGUAUAUAUUGUAUAAUAAUAUACAUUAUUCAUCAUAUUGUUUAUAAUAGUAUAUAUUAUUAAGGAAACUCCUUGUGGACAAAGGACAGAGAACUCAAAGUCAUCCCUCUGCUUGCUGAUAUAAAUGCAUAUCUGAUACUUUUUUGGAAAGGCUAAUCAGAAUCUCUAAAGAAUGCAACUGUUUGUCUCUUAACUACCUAUGACCCCAAAGCCUCCUCAACAGUUUGAAUUGUCCUGCCUUUUCGUAUGGAACCAGUAUACAUUUUACAUAUAUUGGUUCCAUGUCUCCCUGAAAUGUCUAGAACCAAGUGGAUCCCUGACCACCUUAAACACCUGUCAAGACCUCUUGAGGCUGUGUCACAGGUGCAUCCUUAGCCUUAGCAAAGUGACCAUCCUAAUGAUUGAGACUUGUCCCAGAUACUCUUGGUUUACAACACACAUAAGCAUACAUAAUGAAAUACAUUGCUGUCCCUUUGAACAAACUGUUAUAUGUUAGAUCAUUCAAGAAUAGGAAAAAAUCAGUGCUUUUACUUUUUCAAAUGUUCUGUCUUUAUUGCAUUUUCUUUCUUUAUGUCAUUUCCGUGUCUUUGCUAUUGUGAAUAAUGCUGUGAUAAAUUUCCAGGAGCAUGUGGCUUUUUGGUAGGAUGAAGUAUUUUGUGUUGGGUAUACACCCAGUAGGGAAUUGCUUAGUUCAGUAGUAGCUCUGUUUUAAGUUUUUUGAGAAAUCUCCAGACUGUUUACAAAAUCUCCAGACUGCUUUCCACAGUGCAGUCUGUAUUUCCACCAGUAGCGUAUUAGUGUUACCUUUUCUCUACAGCCUCACCAGGGUCUGCUGUUUCCUGACUUUUUAAUAACAGUCAUUCUGAUUGGUGUGGGAUGGUAUCUCAUUGUGGUUCUGAUUUGCAUUUGUAUGAUAAUUAGUGAUGAUAAACAUGUUUUCAUGUUUGUCGGCUACUUGUAUAAUUUUUCUUGAGAAGUGUCUGUUCGUGUCCCUUUCCUAUUUUUAGUGGGAUUAUUUGUUUUUUUGAUUGUUAAGUUCCGUACAGAUUCUAAACAUUAGAACUUUGUCAGCUGCAGAGUUGGGGUAAAUGUUUUAUACCAUUCUGUAUGUUGUCUGUUUCCUCUAUUCAUAGUUCAGUUUGCUAAGCAGAAGCUCUAAUUUGAUUAGGUCUUACUUGUCCAUUUUUGGUUUUAUUGUAAUAGCUUUUGUGGACUUAGCCAAAAAUUAUUUGCCAAAGUUAAUAUCAGGGAUAUUUCCUAGGUUUUCUUGAAGAAUUUUUACAGUUUGAGUUCUUACAUUUACAUUUUUAAUCCAUUUUGAAUAAAUCAUUUUACUUAAUUGAGAUGGAGUCUCUCUCACUUUGUCGCCCUGGCUGGUAUGCAGUGGCACAAUUUAGGCUCACUACAACCUCCACGUCUCAGGUUCAAGAGAUUCUCCUGCCUCAGCCUUCAGAGUAGCUGGGAUUAUAGGCUUGUGCUACCAUGCCCAGCUAAUUUUUGGAUUCUUAGUAGAGACAGUUUCACCACAUUGGCCAGGCUGGUCUCAAAACUCCUGACCUCAAGGGAUACACCUGUGUAGUCCUCCAAAAGUACUGGGAUUACAGGUGUGAGACACCAUGCCCAGCCUUGAGUAAAUAAUUUUAUAUUGUGAAACGUAGGGGUCCAGCUUCAGCCCAGAACCGUUUAUUGAAGAGGGGAUCCUUUCCCUAUUGCUUGUUUUGUCAGAUGAUUGUAGAUGUGCAGCUUCCUUUUCGAGUUCCCCGUUUUUUUCUGGUAGUUUACAUGUUUGCUUUUGUACCAGUACCAUGCUGUUUCAGUUACUGUAGCCUUAUAGAGUAGUGUGAAGUCGAGUAGUGUGAUGACUUCAGCUUCACUCUUUAUGCUUAGGAUUGCUUUAGCUAUCCACAUUCAUUUUUGCUUUAAUAUGAAUUUCAAAAUGGUUUUCUCUAAUUUGGCAAAAUAUUAUGUUGGUACUAAGAAAGGAGUAAUAUUGAAUCUAUAAAUUGCUUGGGCAAUGAUAGAGUUGGGAUAUUUGUUUCUGCCCAGAUCUCAUGUUGAGUUACAGAUCCCAGUGCUGGAGGUGGGUCCUGGCAGAAGGUGUUUGAACCAUGAGGGUGGAUCCCUCAUAGCUGGAUGCUGUCUUCAUAAAGUAAGUUCUUAUGAGAGCUGAUCAUUUAAAGGUGUGUGGCACCUUCCCCACCUCUCUCUCUCUCUCUCUCUCUCUCUCUCUCUCUCUCUCUCACACUCUCUUGCCCCUUGCAUUCUCACCAUGGGAUGUUGAUAUUCACUCAGGGUGGCUGGCAAAAUAUUAAAGAUAUAUUAGGAAGUUAUAGAUUAGUCUCAAGGCUUUUGGAAGGCUAAAAGUUUAUUGGGACAGGCUGAAGGUGGCAGGCCCAUUAGGGAGAAAAUAGGGACCAGGCUUUCCCAAUUUAAGUCUGCUUACCCCACAUCCCUUUGUCUCCAGUCUGUUUACUCAUGUAAAUUUUCUGCUGAGUGGUCCUCUCAGGGGGAGAUCAAAGGGGAAUUAACUGUUAAUAGUGUUUACUCUGGGCCCAGAACCUAAAGCUUUUAUUCAUAAAACCACUCUUUUAACCAUGUUAAUUAUCCACAAGAGUGUUGACUUAGACCCUCUGAUGUGCAAUUCAUAUUGAAUAAAUGUAAUGAUGGAGAGGGAAUCGUGGUUGAUUGGUUGCAUUUCGCCCUCUGAAAGCAGCCAGUGGCCAUCCCUAGCCCACUCAUAUCACUGUAAUGGUGUGAGAGUACAUUCAUUCAUCUGUCGUUAAGUCAAGGUCGCAGGCCAGACUUCCGCAGGUGGUAGACAUCUUAGAUGGUGACCCUGAUGUGAUAGCCGUCACAGCAGGAGCUCAAACGAGGAACAAACCAAUGUGAUCACUGCUGCAAAGAAGGAACAGCAGACCUCCUGAGACCAGAAAGUACAGAGGACUGUGCGGUCAGGUCAAGAAGUCGUGUACCCACUGGGGAUUGCCAAGCUUAGUGAGGCAUUGUUUCAGGCUAGGGAUUCAUCAUGGGACAGCAGUUAUCAGCUCAACAGAUAAAAGUACAGAAUGUAAUUCAAGCUGCUGUUUCCCAAGGCCCAUAGUUCUCGGUAAAGAACACACUGGAUGUAAAGCUUUGUGAACAAAUGGGGAGAAAUCAUGCACAAAAGCAUCUAAUACAUAGGCCAAGGCAGGUGGAUCACCUGAGGUCAGGAGUUUGAAACCAGCCUGGCCAAUGUGUAGAAACCCUGUCUCUACUAAAAAUACAAAAAUUAGCCAGGCGUGGUGGUGCACACCUGUUAUCCUAGCUCCUCAAAGGCUGAAGCAGGAGAAUCACUUGAACUGGGGAGGCAGAGGUUGCAGUGAGCCAAGAUCACUCCACUGCACUCCAGCCUGGGCAAUAAGAUCGAAACUCUGUCUCAAAAAUAACUAACUAACCGGAAUAGAUCAAUCCAUACAGACAGAAUGCAGAUUGGUGGUUAUCAGGGGCUGGAGGAAGGGUGGAAUGAGGAUAACCUGCUUAACUGGUAAGUGGUUUUACUUUGGAGUCAUGGUGAUGUUUUUGCAGAACAUUGUGAAUGUACUUAAAUGCCACUGACUUGUUCAUUUUAAGAUGGCUAAUUUUAUGUGAAGUGAAUUUCGGUUCAGUGAAUCCUUUUUCUUUAAAAAAAAAUGUGGCUGGGUGCUCUGGCUUAUGUCUGUAACCCCAGCAUUUUGGGAGGGCAAGGAGAUUGGCUCUUUCUGUGACAAAUGGCCAUUUUGGAUAUUUCAUAUAAAUGGCAUCAUACAGUAUGUGAUCUUUUGUGUCUGGCUUUUUUGACUUAGUGUAAUGUUUUAGAGGUUUAUUCAUGUUGGAGUAUUUAUCAGUACUUUACUUUUUUCAUGACCGAGUAAUACUCCAUUAUGUGUAUAUACUGUAUUUGUUUAUUCAUUCAUCCACUGAAGAACAUUUGGGCUGUUUCUGCCUUCUGCUUUUAUGAAUAGUGUUGCUCUGAACAUGCAUGUACAUGGGCUUAUUUUCAGUUAUUUUAAGUAUAUACCUAUGAGUGGAAUUGCAAGUCCUGUGGUAGUAGUAUAUUAUUGCUAUGUUACUGUUAAUGAUCUUCUGACAUGUUAGAGAUCAAAGCCAAUAUCUGCAGUUUCCCCAGAGUAUGUGAUUUCAGAGUUGUUGGCUGGGCUUAGAUUAGGAUUCAGAAUCUCUUUCCUGUAUGAAGAACUGAGUCAUAACAUUCUGGUCUUAUUAUUUGCAUUUUACUGAUGGGAUAAUUGAAGAACAGCUUCUGCAUGGUUUUAACUUCCUAUCAUUUUGAGAGCAAGUCAGUGAUGGAAUUAGGAAUUUAAGACUCUUAAUCAUGUUCUUUGUCUAAGAUGACCCGUAUAAAGCCAUGUUGCAUUUACAUGAAGCUAUUUGAAAUGGGCUUCCUAUAUUUUAUAAUCCCUUGGAGGGAUAUUGUUCAGGUGGUGUUAAGCAGAUGUUCUCUUUCCGUAGAGGACAGGACAAGAGGGAAUGAGUUUUAAUUGCAACAUAAAGGAUGUAGAUUACACAUUAGAGAUAACUUCCUGACUGCAAGAUACUGAAAUGUUGUUACCAAGGGAUAUUAUGAAGUAUCUUCUCCAAAGACUUUAUUUUUCUGGGAUCAUUUAGGUGUAAGCUUGUUUGGAAAUUAGGGAGAUGACAGAGAUGACUUGCUGAGGUCCCUGAUAACCCUGAGACAUAAUUGUUUGAUGGUUAAUCAAAGCAAUAUCUCUGGCUGGGCACAGUGACUCAUGUCUAAUCCCAGCACUUUGGGAGGCUGAUGUGGGAGGUUCUCUUAAGCCCAGGAGUGUGGGACCAGCCUGGGCAACAUACGGAGACCCCGUCUACAAAACAACAGCAACACCAACAUCUCUGGUAUUUUCAUGAGUAUAUUUUCACUUUUCUCACAAUGCAAUAAUCACUAGAGAGCAGGUGAAUUGCUCAAGGUUCCUGGUAAAAUAGCAGAUUAGUAUUCUAAAUCUUCUUGGAUUCUGCAUCCAUAUUGAAUACUCAGGGAUAUCUUUCUUAAGUGACUCUUUUCUUGGCUAUAUGAUAAGAGUUAUGAUUCUUCUUGAAUCAUAGUGAUCAAAGCCAGCAUCUGCAGCUUCCAUAGAGUGUAUGAUUUGAGAGUUGGCUAGGCUUAGAUUGGAACUGAGAAUUUCUUUCCUGUUAACAUAGCUUUGGUCCCUGGUUAUACAUGAGGAAAUGGGAACAUGUUAUUAAUAAUAGACCACGACAGUGGAUUCUUAAGGACUGGUUUAGGCAAGAGCCAGUUUAAAAUUGCUUAGGUGAGGGUGCACAUGACAGGUAUUUUUGGCUUACGGUGCCUGGAAAAAUAGAAGACUGGAAGAUGGGCAAAUGAACAUUCGAUUCUGUUGUAGAAUAUAAACAUGAAAAUACUCAUUUAAUCUUAGAAUUAAUUGCCAGUUUAAAUGCUCAGCUCAGGAAAUGCCAAAGUUAAGUUACUCAGUAUUACAGUAAUGUAUCCAUCUCAAAUGUAGCAUCUAUGUUAAGUAUCUCAUAAGGGAGAUCUCUUGUCUAUUACCAAAAUUGUGGUUUUUGGUCCAUGAGUCAGUGGCUGGCUGGGAGGCUAGGCUGGGAGGGUGCUAUGGUCUAAAUGUUUGUGUCUACCUGGAAUUUAUGUUGAAAUCCUCACCUACAAAGUGAUGGUAUUAGAAGGGGGGCUUUUGGGAGAUGAUUGGAUAAUGAGGACAGAGCCCUUACAAAAAAGAUGAGAGAGAUCCCCUGUCCUCUUUUACCAUGUGAGAACACAGCAAGAAGGCACUGUCUGUGAACCAGAACCUGGGCCGUGAACCAGAACAUGGGCCCAUACCAGAUAGCAGUGGACUUUCCAACCCCAGAAUGUUGAAAAACAAAUUUCUGUUUUUUAUGAGCUACCCGUUUUUUUGUUGUUGUUGUUGUUUUUCUUUUGUGACAGAAUUUUGCUCUUGUUGCCCAGGCUGCUGGAGUGCAGUAGUGCUCACUGUCUCAGCUCACUGCAGCCUCCACCUCCUGGGUUCAAGCUCUUCUCCUGCCUCAGCUUCCCAAGUGGCUGGAAUGACAGGCACGCACCAGCAUGGGCCACCAUGCCCAGCUAAUUUUGUUUUAGCAGAGACGGGGUUUCACCAUGUUGGUCAGGCUGGUCUCAAACUCCUGACCUCAGGUGAUCCACCCGCCUCAGCCUCCCAGCGUGCUGGGAUUACAGGUGUGAGCCACUGCACCUGGCCAGUUUUUGGUAUUUUGUUAAAGCAGUCCAAAAGGACUAAGAGGGAGUUAUUAAUACUAGUGGUACCUUUAAUGAAGGAUUUCUUAGGUUUAUUUUAGUUGGAGAGCAUUUACUUGUUCACUUCUCUGCUGCCAAGAAUAUCUUCAGACAUAUUUAUUGAGCUUUCUUGAAUUAGCAACAACUGUUAACACUACAGAUUUAUCUGUAGAAAGAAACUAACUUUUGAAUGUGAACCAUGUAUAGGGAGUUUUAUAUUUACUCUUCCAUGUAAUAUUUGUAACAAACCUGUAAAGGAUGAGGAAAAGUGAAGCAUUAUUUGAAAAAGUGAAACGUUUUUUCAAAGGUUAUACAGCUGGCAAAUGGUAGAGCUGAGAUGGAGAAUGCAAAGUCUUCAGUUUUUGUUUUUGCUUUUUUUUUUUUUUUUUGAGAUGGAGUGUUGCUCUGUCGCUCAGGCUGGAGUGCACUGGCACGGUCUCGGCUCACUGCAACCUGUGCCUCCCGGGUUCAAGCAGUUAGUCUGCCUCAGCCUCUCAAGUACCUGAGACUACAGGCGCCUAUCACCACACCCAGCUAAUUUUUGUAUUUUUAGUAGAGACAGGGUUUCACCAUGUUUGCUAGGCUAGUCUUGAACUCCUGACCUCGUGAUCCGUCUGCCUCAGCCUCCCAAAGGGCUGGGAUUUUAGGCGUGAGCCACCAUGCCCAGCCAAGUUUUCAGUUUUAACCAGUAUUUUUGAAAGUAUUCCUUGGAGGUGCCCAAGAGUUGACCAUGCGAGUAAGGAAGAGCUUUAGUUCUCCCACUUUGCUUAAGCCAGAGCAGCUCAACUUCGACCUGUUUCACAUUUUAGUGUUUUCACAUAAGAUGUCAUUUGGAAAAAGGAUUCCGUUUCUUUAAAAAGAGAAACCCUGGAAGACCAUCAAUUUGAGGAAUCAUAAAAGAAAGUUAGCUAAACCAAUCUAAAGAUUGAAAAGAUGACUAAAUUACGUAACUGCCAGUCAGGAAAUCAUGUCAAAGUUUGAAGUGACUUGAUAUCACAGCCACAUGUGCAGUGCAGUUAUUCUGCCCUUAGGAGCAUUGUACAGUAGGAAAAGAGCAUGGACUCAGGUGUUUGUUUUUGAGACGGAGUCUCUCUCUGUCACCCACACUGGAGUGCAGGGCCUCGAUCUUGGCUCACUGCAACCUGAGCCUCCCGAGUAGCUGGGAUUACAGGCGUGUGCCACCACAUCCGGCUAAUUUUUCUAUUUUGAGUAGAGACAGUUUCACCGUGUUGGCCAGGCUGGUCUUGAACUCCGGAUCAAGUGAUCUGCUCACUUUGGCCUACCAAAGUGCUGGGAUUAAAGAGUGAGCCACCGUGCCUGGCCAGAAUACUUCUUUUUUCCUUUUUUUUAAAAGCCAGCUCAGAAUAUUUCUUUUUAAAUCUGGUGGCUACUGGAUGUACCUCAUGGUAGGUGCUUAGUAUGCUUGUUUUUGAUGAAGUUAGUCUUUAAAGUGCUAUGAUUCUUUACUCAUAGAUGUGUCUGAUUGAUUAAAUGAGAAAACUUAGACUCCAUUAAGUUCAUUGUUACUGGAUUUAAAGCAGUAGCAGUGCAAAGGAACCCUAUAUAGUGAGUUAAGAGCCCUGGGCUUAUGUCUCAGAAAUGCCCCUAGUGAGUUUGUAACUAUGAACAAGUGAAUCUAACUUUUUGAGAUACUGAUUGAUUGAUUGAUUGAGACGGAGUCUCAUUCUGUUACCCAGGCUAGAGUGCAGUGGUGCAAUCAUGGCUUACUGCAGCCUUGACAUUCCCAGGCUCAAGUGAUCUUCCUGCCUCAGCCUCCUGAGUAGCUGGGACUGCAGGUGUGCGCCACCAUGCCUGGCUAAUAUUUGUUAUUUUUUUGUAGAGAUGGGGAUUUGCGAUAUUAUAUGCCCAGGCUGGGCUUGGACUCAGUGCUCAAUCCUCCCUCCUUGGCCUCCCAAACCACCAGUGAGUUUGGUCUCCCAAACAGGAGUGAGCUACUUUAUGGCACUUUUCACGAUUUUAUGUUCAAAAUGAUGCCCAAGUCACUUUUAACUCUGUAUAUCCAUCAUUUGACAAAAAAGUUAAACAUACUUUAUUUUCAUUGCUAGAAUUUCCAACAUUUACAGGUUAUUUUUGGAGAAAGUGCUUUGUGCUGACUUGAGCUGCCAAACUUGUGUUCAUACUUACUGAGCGUGUCCACUGCAGAGAUUUGUGUAGAAGGACAUUGGGGAUCUUUUGCUCAGGCAUAAGAAUUGAAAUUUGUGGCUUAUAGAAUAUCAGCAGAAUGAAGCAGAACCACUGUAAGGAAGCAAAUGUGAGAGAUUAUCUGUUGCUUUUGGGAAGAUAGCUGGCGUUUUCAAACCAGGCCACUCUGUACUUCCUUGAUGGUAACACUUGCCACAUUUCAGUACAGUGGUUACAGUUACAGUGUAUUGCAGUGUUGUCUUCCUACAAGCUCUCAGAGGUUGGAGGCCUUGUCUGUUUGUUUUUUCUACCUCUCUAUCCCUCCCACCUGCAGUAGACCUUGCUGCAUAGUGUAGACCUCCAAAAAUAUGCUCAAUGGACAAAAAUAGUUGAACCAAGAUCAGCAGACAUAUUUAGAAAAUGACUUGUACCUACAUACUUGCUAAAUGUAUUGAAAUUUUCUGUUGGCAUGUGAUAGUAUAGAAAAACCUGAUGAAGGAAAAAAACACAGUGUUGUAGCUUUUUAAUCCACAGUUUAUCUCUUACUGGCUUAAAAAAAAAUAUUAACAGCAGUCAAAUUAUGGUUUGAUGGAGGGCAAGUAAUAUCGUGUUGAGCCAAGGUUUUCUCUGUAAAACGGGAGUGAGCGUGAGCCACUGCACCUGGCCACUUUGCUUUCAAGUUUCCCUCUUUUUGCCCAGGCUGGAGUACAGUGGUGCAAUCUCAGCUCACUGCAGCCUCUGCCUCCUGGAUUCAAGCAGUUCUGCCUCAGCCUCCCAAGUAGCUGAGAUUACAGGUGCCCACCACCACUCCCAGCUAAUUUUUGUAUUUUUAGUAGAGAUGGGGUUUUGCCAUGUUGGCCAGGAUGGUUGUGCACUCGACCUCAGGUGAUCUGCCUGCCUCAGCCUCCCAAAGUGCUGGGAUUACAGACGUGUGCCACUGAGGUGCCCAGCUGUAUUGUUUUAUUUUUAUUUUUAUAUUUUUAGAUAGAGUCUCUCUUUUCUCCCAGGCUGGAGUACAGUGGCAUGAUCUUGGCUCACUGCAACCUCUACCUCCCAGGCUCAAGUAGUUCUUGUGUCUCAGCCUGUUAAGUAGCUGGGAUUACAGAUGUGCACCACCAUAGCUGGCUAAUUUUUGUUAGACAGGGUUUUACCAUGUUUGUUGGCCAGGCUGUUCUCGAACUCCUGACCUCAAGUGAUCACCCACCUCGGCCUCUUAAAUGCUGGGAUUAUAGGCAUGAGCCACUGCACCCAGCCUCAGCUGGGUUUUUCAAGUAUAGUUUGGCACACAGCGGGCUAGGAAUGGAUGCUACUAAUUGGUUGGGGUUGCAGUCAUAGGCACAUGGAAAACGGUCCUUAUGUAAUGAGUCUGCUUCUGGCUAGGGGCUACAGAGGAAUCGCUGGUCAGGGUGUGCUCAUCUUGUCAUCAGAAGUGCAAAAGUCUGACAAGACAUCUUAAAAGGGCAAUCUUGACUGGGCGUGGUGGUUUAUGCCUGUAAUCCCAGCACUUUGGGAGGCUAAGGCAGAUGGAUCACUUGAGGCCAGGAGUUGGAGACCAGCCUGGCCAAAAUGGUAAAACCCUGUCUCUACUAAAAAUACGAAAAUUAGCCAGGUGUGGUUGUGCUUGCAUGUACUCCCAGCUAUUUGGAUGGUUGAGGCAGGAGAAUUUCUUGAACCUGGGAGGUAGAGGUUGCAUUGAGCUGAGAUUGCUUCACUGCACUCCAGUCUGAGAGACAGAGCAAGACUCUUUCUCAAAAAAUAAAUAAAGCUGUGCGAAGUGGCUCACACCUGUAAUCCCAGCACUUUGGAAGGCUGAGGCGGGUGGAUCUCCAGAGGUCAGGAGUUCGAGACCGGCCUGGCCACCAUGGUGAAACCCUGUUUCUACUAAAAAUGGAAAAAUUAACUGGGCAUGGUGGUGUGCACCUCUAAUCCCAGGUGCCUGGGAGGCUGAGGCAUGAGAAUAGCUUAAACCCAGCAGGCGGAGACCACAGUAAGCUGAGAUGGGACCACUGCAUUCCAGCCUGGGUAACAGAGCAAGACUCUGUCUCAACCUUCCCCACCCCCAAAAAAACUAUUUAAUAUGCUUACUUUUUUUUUUAAUUUCAUUUUCUUGAGAUACGGCUUACUCUGUUGCCCAGGAUGGAAUAGAGUGUCGCAAUCUUGAAUCACUGCAAUCUCUGCUUCCUGGGUUCAUAUGCUUACAUUUAAUGGAUAAUCCUAAACUUGUGGCCUUUUAUUAGUUUUAUAAAGGCGGUUCAGUUUUGAGAAGGGAUAUUAUUAUUUAAACUAUAAACUAAAUUUCUCCUAAAGUUAGCUUGUCCUACACAUUUUACCAAGGGCAGUUAAAGGCAAGAUGGAGUUGGUUAGGUCAGAUCUGUUUCACUGUCAUGAUUUUUUUACUGUUAAAAUUUUAGCAAAGGCUGUUUCACAGUAGAUAAAGUUGCAUUGAAGCUUUUCCCAGAAAAUCCAGAGAGAAUGCCUUCGGGGGUAGAUGACUCAAUCCCCACCCCACUGGGUCCUGUCUGUAAUGUGUUUCAACUAUUAAUGUCUCUCAUUGUCAUUUUAAGACUGUUAUAUAAAUGGAAUUAUAUAGUAUAUAACCUUUUGUAUUGGCCUUUUUCACUCAGCAUAAUUCUCUUGAGAUUCAUCCAAGUUAAUAUUAUCAGUAGUUCCACUCUUUUUUCUUCUUUUCUUUUUUCUUUGUUUUAAAACUAGUCAAUAGUUAAGUGAAGCAGUGGGAGUUGUUUUUUUUUUUUUUUUUUUCUUGAGAUGGAGUCUUGCUUUUGUCGCCCAGGCUGGAGUGCAAUGGCUUGAUCUCAGAUCACUGCAGCCUCCAACCCCUGAGUUCAAGUGAUUCUCCUGCCUCAGCCAUCCAAGUAGCUGGGAUUACAGGUACCCACCACCACACCCAGCUAAUGUUUUUAUUUUUAGUAGAGGUGGGAUUUCACCCUAUUGGCCAGGCUGGUCUUGAACUCCUGACCUCAGGUGAUUCACCUGCUUCGGCUUUCCAGAGUACCAGGAUUACAGGUGUGAGCCACCAUGCCUGGCCAGUUCCACUUUUUUAAUUGCUAAAUAGUAUUUCAUGGGAUGCAUGUACUGUAGUUUGUUUAAUCAUUCACCCAUUGAAAGACAUCUGGCUAGGCACGGUGGCUUACACCUGUGUUUCCAGGACUUUGGGAGGCUGAGGUGGGCAGAUUGCUUUGAGACCAGCCUGGGCAACAGGGUGAAACUUUUAUCUCGCCUGGGUGUGGUGGCUCACGCAUGUGAUCUAAGCACUUUGGAGGCCAAGAUUGGUGGGUCACCUGAGGUUGGGAGUUCAAGACCAACCUGACCAACAUGGUGAAACCCCGUCUUUAUUUAAAAAAAAGAAAGAAAGAAACUCUAUGUCUACUAAAAAAUUAAAAAAAAAAAAAAAAUUAGUUGGGUGUGGUGGCUAACACCUAUGGUCACAGAUACUUGGGUGGCUGAGGUGGGAGGAUCACUUGAGACUGGGAGGUGGAGGUUGCAGUGAGCCAUUGGUCAUGCCACCCACUUUAGCCUGGGCAACAGAGGGAGACCUCUUCUGAAGAAUAAAGUCUGAAUUCCUCUAAUUUUUUUUGGCUAUGAUGAAUAAAACUACAUCAAUAUUUGUAUACAAGUUUUUUUUUUUUAAUUGCAUUUUAGGUUUUGGGGUACAUGUGCAGAACAUGCAAGAGAGUUGCAUAGGUACACACAUGGCAGUGUGUUUUGCUGCCUUCCUCCCCUUCACCCACAUUUGGCAUUUCUCCCCAGGCUAUCCCUCCCCAGCUCCCCCCCACUGCUGUCCCUUCCCUAUUCCUCCCAGUAGACCCCAGUAUGUAGUACUCCCUUUUCUGUUCAUGUGUUCUCAUUUUUCAUCACCCACCUAUGAGUGAGAAUAUGCAGUAUUUCAUUUUCUGUUCUUGUGUCAGUUUGCUGAGAAUGAUGUUCUCCAGAUUCAUCCAUGUCCCUACAAAUGACACAAACUCAUCAUUUUUUAUUGCUGCAUAAUAUUCCAUGGUGUAUAUGUGCCACAUUUUCCCAGUCCAGUCUAUCAUCGUUGGGCAUUUGAGUUGGUUCCAGGUCUUAGCUAUUGUAAACAGUGCUGCAUUGAACAUUCGUGUGCAUGUGUCCUUAUAGUAGAACAAUUAAUAGUCCUUUGGAUAUAUACCCAGUAAUGGGAUUGCUGGGUCAAAUGGAAUUUCUAUUUCUAAGGCCUUGAGGAAUCGCCACACUGUCUUCCACAAUGGUUGAACUAAUUUACACUCCCAUCAGCAGUGUAAAAGUGUUGCUAUUUCUCCACAUCCUCUCCAGCAUCUAUUGUCUCCAGAUUAAUGAUUGCCAUUCUAACUGGCAUGAGAUGGUAUCUCAAUGUGGUUUUGAUUUGCAUCUCUCUAAUGACCAGUGACGAUGAGCAUUUUUUCAUAUGAUUGUUGGCCUCAUAUAUGUCUUCUUUCGUAAAGUGUCUGUUCAUAUCCUUUGCCCAAUUUUGAAUGGGCUUGUAUGUUUUUUUUCCUGUAAAUCUGUUUGAGUUCUUUGUAAAUUCUGGAUAUCAGCCCUUUGUCAGAUGGGUAAACUGCAAAAAUGUUUUCCCAUUCUGUUGGGUUGCUGACUCACUCUAGUGACUGUCUCUUUUGCCGUGCAGAAGCUGUGGAGUUUGAUUAGGUCCCAUAUGUCUAUUUUGGCUUUUGUUGCCAAUGCUUUUGGUGUUUUGGUCAUGAAGUCCUUGCCUGCUCCCAUGUCCUGAAUGGUUUUGCCUAGAUUUUCUUCUAUGGUUUUUAUGGUGCCAGGUCUUAGGUUUAAGUCUUUAAUCCAUUUGGAGUUAAUUUUAGUGUAAGGUGUCAGGAAGGGGUCCAGUUUCUGCUUUCUGGACAUGGCCAGCCAGUUUUCCCAACACCAUUUAUUAAACAGGGAAUCCUUUCCCCAUUGCUUGUUUUGGUCAGGUUUAUCAAAGAUUGUAUGGUUGUAGAUAUGCUGUGUUGCCUCCGAUGCCUCUGUUCUGUUCUAUUGGUCUAUAUAUCUGUUUUGGUACCAGUACCAUUCUGUUUUGAUUACUGUAGCCUUGUAGUAUAGUUUGAAGUCUGGUAGUGUGAUGCCUCCCGCUGUGUUCUUUUUGCUUAGAAUUGACUUGGCUAUGCGGGCUCUCUUUUGGUUCCAUAUGAAGUUCAAGGUGGUUUUUUCCAGUUCUGUGAAGAGGCUGUCAUAGGUAGCUUGAUGGGGAUAGCAUUGAAUCUAUGAAUUACUUUGGGCAGUAUGGACAUUUUCACAAUAUUGAUCCUUCCUAACCAUGAACAUGGAAUGUUUCUCCAUCUGUUUGUGUCCUCUCUUAUUUCGUUGAGCAGUGGUUUGUAGUUUUCCUUGAAGAGGUCCCUUACGUUCCUUGUUAGUUGUAUUCCUAGGUAUUUUAUUCUCUUUGUAGCAAUUGUGAAUGGCAGUUCGUUCUUGAUUUGGCUCUCUUUAAGUCUGUUAUUGGUGUAUAGGAAUGCUUGUGAGUUUUGCACAUUGAUUUUAUAUCCUGAGACUUUGCUGAAGUUACUUAUCAGUUUCAGGAGUUUUUGGGCUGAGGUGAUGGGGUCUUCUAGGUAUACUAUCAUGUCAUCUGCAAAUAGAGACAAUUUGGCUUCCACCUUUCCUAUUUGAAUACCCUUUCUUUUUUUUGCCUGAUUGCUCUGGCUGGAACUUCCAGUACUAUAUUGAAUAGGAGUGGUGAGAGAGGGCAUCCUUGUCUAGUGCCAGAUUUCAAAGGGAAUGCUUCCAGUUUUUGCCCAUUCAGUAUGAUAUUGGCUGUUGGUUUGUUGUAAAUAGAUUUUAUUACUUUGAGAUACGUUCCGUCAAUACCGAGUUUAUUGAGGGUUUUUAGCAUAAAGGCUGUUGAAUUUUGUCAAAUGCGUUCUCUGCAUCAAUUGAGAUAAUCAUGUGGUUUUUGUUUUUGGUUCUGUUUAUGUGGUGAAUUACGUUUAUAGACGUGCAUAUGUUGAACCAUCCUUGCAUCCCCGGGAUGAAUCCUACUUGAUCAUGAUGGAUACGUUUUUUGAUGUGCUGUUGCAAUCGGUUUGCCAGUAUUUUAUUGAAGAUUUUUGCAUCUAUGUUCAUCAUGGAUAUUGGCCUGAAGUUUUCUUUUCUUGUUGGAUCUCUGCCGGGUUUUUGUAUCAGGAUGAUGUUGGUCUCAUAAAAUGAUUUGGGAAGAAUGCCCUCUUUUUGGAUUAUUUGGAAUAGUUUCAGAAGGAAUGGUACCAGCUCCUCUUUGUGUGUCUGGUAGAAUUCGGCUGUGAACCCAUCUGGACCUGGGCUUUUUUUGUGUGGUAGGCUCUUAAUUGCUGCCUCGACUUCAGACCUUGUUAUUGGUCUAUUCAUAGUUUCGGCUUCCUCCUGGUUUAGGCUUGGGAGGACACAGGUGUCCAGGAAUUUAUCCAUUUCUUCCAGGUUUACUAGUUUAUGUGCAUAGAGUUGUUUGUAAUAUUCUCUGAUAAUGGUUUGAAUUUCUGUGGAAUCUGUGGUGAUUUCCCCUUUCUUGUUUUUUAUUGCAUCUAUUUGGUUGUUCUCUCUUUCUUUUUUAUCAGUCUGGCUAGUGGUCUAUUUUGUUGAUCUUUUCAAAAAACCAGCUCCUGGAUUUAUUAAUUUUCUGAAGAAUUUUUCGUGUCUCUAUCUCCUUCAGUUCUGCUCUGAUCUUAGUUAUUUCUUGUCUUCUGCUAGAUUUUGAGUUUUUUUGCCCUUGCUCCUCUAGGUCUUUCAAUUUUGACGACAGCGUGUCAAUUUUGGAUCUCUCCACUCUUCUUCUAUGGGCACUUAUUACUAUAUAUUUUCCUCUGGAGACUGCUUUAAAUGUGUUCCAAAGUUUCUGGUAUGUUGUGUUUUAGUUCUUGUUGGUUUCGAAGAACUUCUUUAUUUCUGCCUUCAUUUUGUUGUUUAUCCAGUCAACAUUCAAGAGCCAGUUGUUCAGUUUCCAAGAAGCUGUGCGAUUCUGAGUUAGUUUCUGAAUUCUGAGUUCUAACUUGAUUGCACUAUGGUCUGAGAGACUGUUUGUUAUGAUUUCAGUUACUUUGCAUUUGCUGAGGAGUGCUUUACUUUCAAUUAUGUGGUCAAUUUUAGAGUAGGUGUGAUGUGGUGCUGAGAAGAAUGUAUAUUCUUUGGAUUUGGGGUGGAGAGUUCGGUAAAUGUCUAUCAGGUUUGCUUCUUCCAGGCCUGAGUUCAAGCCCUGGAUAUCCUUGUUGAUUUUCUGUCUGGUUGAUCUGUCUAAUAUUGACAGUGGAGUGUUAAAGUCUCCCACUAUUAUUGUGUGGGAGUCUAAGUCUCUUUGUAAGUCUUUAAGAACUUGCCUUAUAUAUAUGGGUGCUCCUGUAUUGGGUCCAUAUAUAUUUAGGAUCAUUAGCUCUUCUUGUUGUAUCAAUCCUUUUACCAUUAUGUAAUGACCUUUUUUGUCUCUUUUGAUCUUUGUUGCUUUAAAUUCUAUUUUAUCAGAGAUGAGAAUUGCAACUCCUGCUUUUUUUUGCUCUCCAUUUGCUUGGUAAGUCUUCCUCCAUCUCUUUUUUUGAGCCUUUGUGUAUCCUUGCAUAUGAGAUGUGUUUCAUUUUUUGUCUUUUUAAAUCUUCAUUGAUUUAAAGUCUGUUUUAUUACAAACUAGGAUUGCAGCCCCUGCUUUUUUUGUUUUCAGUUUGCUUCAUAGAUUUUUCUGCAUCACUUUAGUUUGAGCUGAUGUGUGUCACUGCAUGUGAUAUGGGUCUUUUGAAGACAAUAUACUAAUAGGUCUUAGUUCUUUAUCUAGCUUGCCACUCUGUGUCUUUUAAAUAGAGAGGAACAACACACACUGGGGGUUGUCAGGCGGUUAGAGGGUAACCUGUCAGGGAGGAGGAAAAGGAUCAGGAAAAAUAACAGGUACUAGGCUUAAAACCUGGAUGAUAAAACUAUCUGUACAACAAACUCCCAUGACACAAGUUUACCCAUGUAACAAAGCUGAACACAGUCCCUGGACUUAAACUUUAAAAAGAAGAAAAAGAAAAAUUGGUCUAAGAGCGUAUUUCCUAAUUUAAGGAUGCACACUGAAUUUCACUUAAAAUAUACACAAAGACUAAAGUCACCAUUGAGAGAAUAAAAUCUUUUUGUGUAUUUUUGAGUAUGGGGGAUUAUACUCAAUUGAGUUUCACAUUGUCUUUCUUGUAUACCCAGAAGACUUUUUUAGUAACUAAUUUUACUUUCCUACCUUGGGAAAGAAUGUAAGUACUUUUUUGUAAUAGUUUGGUCUUAUCAUCCUUUGAGUUUUAUACUCUUUUUCCUCAAUUAAAUCUUAUAAUUAUCUCACACUACCUUGACAGUGAUUAUUCUGAUUCACCUUUAUUAUUUCCAAAGCAUGCAAUUUUCUUAAUAGAACUCUUUUUCUAAUGAUUUUAAGUGCUUAUUUAAUUUAAUUAAUGCAUGUAAUUGAAAAGAGCAGUAACAUUGGCUUUAACAGUUUUACAAGAGCUAGCUGAGUCUUAAUAAGCGUUAACAUUUAAUGCAGAGAAGUGUGUGGCUCACUAGAGAAUAGCUACAAGCUUAGUGAGUUAAGAGAGCUUUGGACCCUAGCCAGGAUGUCUAACAGAGGAGUGGUUCUCAAAUAUGGUUGAUUUUUUUCCCCUCGGUGAUUUGGCUAUGUCAGGAGACAUUGGCACGACUGCUGAGGGUAAAGUUGUUCUUGGUACCUGGUGAGUAGGAGCCAGGGAUGCUAGCAAACAUCAUGGAGGGUACAGGGCUGUCCCCAAAACAAGGAGUUGUCUGUUAAUAGUUUCACUGUGACGGUACCUUGUUUACAGAGGAAAUGGAGAGCUUCUAAACCUCUGAGCCCUUUAAGAGGAAUACAUAUUGCAAAUGCUAUUGUUUCAACUACUAGGAUUUGUUUGCAUCCAGAGGCAAGUUGAAAAGUCCUAUUUUCUUCAACCUUUUAUAUUCCACACCAAAGUAAAUAUUAGGUUGUACACAGAAAGUACUCCAACUCUUGUUCAGUGAUACAGAAACAGGAUGCCAAAAUGACUUGUUACAAGCUGAAGGGGAGGUAAAAAAAUAUUAUAGUGAAAAUAAAUAUGGAGCAUGUGAAAGCCUUAAGAAGGUGGAAAAGUGGCAAAAGUAAAAAAUAUGUUUCCAAAAAAUUUUAGUUAUGCUCUCCUUUGUAAGCAAAAAUCCCCUUCUAUUACAAACUGUUUAAAACACCCUAAAAUAUCAUGUUCUGCUAUUUUAGAAGGUUACAAGUAUGGUGGCCGAUACACAAUAUGUUUACUCGACAUUAACCUGAAUUACUACUAAAUUUAAUCUUGCUUACACAUAAAUACAAGCUAUACUAACAAGUUGGAUUGUUUUAAGAAGAGAUGAAUAAUAUUGAAAAUAAUUUUAUGCCAAUAGGAAAGAAUAAAAAACAGGAUAUUUCUUUUUUUUUUUUUUUUUAAAAAGAAGGGGAAAAAAAGAAAAAGAGGGAAAAAGGAAUAUUACUUCAUUCCUAGAAUGGGUUUCAAUAAUGGCCGAUCAAUAUUUUGAGUGUUUAAAGUGGUUAAUGCAUAUUUUAUGUGUUUAAAAUGGAGACCUCUAUUGUGUUUAUUUGUUCUGGCUCUGAGUUCAAGUCCUGGAUAUCAUUAUUAAUUUGUUGUCUCGUUGAAUCUAAAUCUCAUUAUGUGUCUUAGUAUCUGGGUGUUAAGAUCUCUUAUUGUUACAUUAAUCCUUUUACCCUUGCAUCCUUAUAGCUUUGAAAUCUAUUUUAUUAAGUGUGAGAAUUGCAACUCCUGCUUUUUAUUUAUUUAUUUUUGCUCUCCAUUUGGUUGGUCUUUUUCCAUCCCCUUGUUUUGAGUCUUUGUGUAUCUUUAGAUAUAUCGUUAGAUUUUGUGGAUAAUGUAUAUUUUGUGUGUUUAAAAUGGAGAGCUCUAUUGAGUUUAUUUGUUCUGGAUCUUAGUUCCAGUCCCGGAUAUCGUUAUCAAUUUUCUGUCUCGUUGAAUCUAAAUGUCAUUAUGGGUCUUAUGUAUCUGAGUGUUAAGAUCUCUUAUUAUUACAUUAAUUCUUUUACCCUUGUAUCCUUGUAGCUUUGAAAUCUAUUUUGUCAAAUGUGAAAAUUGCAACUCCUGCUUUUUAUUUAUUUAUUUUUGCUCUCCAUUUGGUUGGUACUUUUUUUUUUUUCCAACCCUUUAUUUUGAGUCUAUGUAUAUCUUUGGAUAUACCGUUAGAUUUUGUCUGUAUCUUUUGAUUGGGAGAUUUGGUCGAUUUAAAUUUAGGGUUGCUGCCAUUUGAUAUUAACUGGCUAUUUUGUCCUUUCAUUGAUAAAAAUUCUUCUUUAUGUUAAUGCUCUUUACUUUUUGGUGUAUUUUUAGAAAGGGUCAUACUGGUUGUUCCUUUCUGUAUAUAAUGCUUCUUUUAGAAGUUCUUGUAAAGCAGGCCUGGUGGUAAUAAAAUCUCUGAGUACUUGCUUGUUCCUAAAAGAUUUUAUUUUUCCUUCAAAUGUAAAGCUUAAAUUGGCAGGAUAUGAAAUUCUGGGCUGAAAGUUCUGUUGAUUAAGUAUAUUGAAUAUUGGCCCCCACUGUCUUCUAGCUUGUAGGGUUUCCGUUGAGAGAUCUGCUGUAAGCCUAAUAGGCUUACCUUUAUGGGUAACUUGAUCUUUCUCUCUGGCUGCCCUUAAUAUUUUCUCCUUCGUUUCAAUCUUGGUGAAUCUAACGAUUAUGUGCCUUGGGGCUGGUCUUCUUGAGGAAUAUCUUUGUGGUGUUCUCUGUAUUGCCUGGGGUUGAAUAGUGUCCUGCUUUGCUAAACUAGGAAAAUUUUCCUGGAUAAUGUCCUGGAGAGUAUUUUCCAGCUUGAAUUCAUUCUCUCUGUCACAUUCAGGUACACCAAUCAAGCGUAUAUUAGGUCUUUUCACAUAGUCCCAUAUUGCUUGGAGACUUUGCUCAUUCCUUUUUAUCCUUUUUUCUCUAUUCUUGUCUUGUCGUUUUGUUUCAUUAAGUUGGUCUUCGACCUCUGAUACCCUUUCUUCUGCUUGAUCCAUUCGGCUGUUUAAGCUUGUACAUAUUUCACUAAGUUCUCGUGCUGUAUUUUUUAACUCCAUAAGUUCAUUUGUAUUCCUCUCUAUAUUGUCUAUUCUUUGCAAACAUUUCAUCUAACCUUUUUUCCAAGUUCUUAGUUUCUUUACAUUGGGUUAGAACAAGUUCCUUUAACUCCCAGAAGUUUCUUAUCAUCCACCUUUUAAAGCCUACUUCAGAUAAUGGAACACAGUCCUUUUCCAUCAGGGCUUGUUUGGUUGCUGAUGAGUCCUUUUCCAUCAGGGCUUGUUCUGUUGCUGAUGGGUUCUGAUUUUGAGUAUACUCGGCCUUCUUCGGCUGUUUUUUCCCCUUCAUUGUAGAUGACCCGCCUUUCUAAUUAGGUUUCUGAGUCGACGUCCGACUUAUUGAUCCCCAGUGCUGGGAUCCGAGCCACCCACUGUGGCGGCCUAAAUAGCAGCGAUAAGACUGAUAGUGCUCUUCUGCCCAGGAAUCUCUGGUCUGGCUUCCCUCUUGAGUCCGCAACAAGCGGCUCUGACUUCCCGGAGCUCCAAACUCCGGUCAGUAGGGGAAGCGGUCCCGUUGGCUCUGCAUGAAGAGCUGCUGCGCCGAGACGCCGGCAAAACCGCUGCGGCAGCCACAAGAAUCGCGCUGGCGACCCGUGGGGCUCCUCCACUGGGAAUCGGCUAAUCGCUACAUUAUACUGUAUUUUGAAGGUGAGUGAUUUCAGCAAGCUUUGGUCUUAUGCCAGCAUACUAGCAAACCCAGCAGGGUGGUGAGUGCUAGAUAGUUGCAAAAUUAAUAUUAGGAGAAAUGUAAGUAAUUACAUUUAACACCUUAAUAUUGACUUUUGUCUGGACAUUUACAUGUAAUAUUUAUUAUGCACAAGCAGAUGUUAACAUUCAUGUUGGAAAGGUAAAAAUCUUUGGAAAACUAAACAUGGGAACUCCCUGAUAACUUCACUAUUGAAUAGUAACAUCCUUUUUUUUUGUUUGAUCGUCAUCUACAAAUGACUUUUUAGAAUAUUAUUUGUCUUAAUUUGCUUUGAAAACUCUUAAGUUUUUAUCCCUGUACUGGUUUUAAACAUUAUGAAACUUCAGCCCUAUCUUUAGCCUGACUGCCCUCUCUUCCAUAAGAACCAAGUAUUGAGUCACGGGAAGCUGAUCAUUUGCCUCUGUUAAGAUAAAUUCAUAGGCAGGUCAUGGGUCUAGGAAAGUGCCAUGGCAUUACAGUCUUGACAUCAGUGUGUCUGAUACAGACACAAGCUCCCCUGAAAAAAAAUAGCCCGGUUCUGGAAGUACGCAAACCCUUAAAUGUCAUUCCAGUUGCAGCAUUUAUAUAGUUUCAAAAUGUCACAUUUAUUUUAUGUAAUAGCUACUGAAACAGAAUAGUAUUUUUCUUUUUAAAGGAUGAAAUUGAGAUUUUUAAGCUGAAGGUAGUAAGCCAGAUGCUGAACUGGAACUAAAGUUUUAAGAAUACAAGAAAAAUAAAUCCUAUCAUAGGUAACAGAAUGAUUUGCAAAGUGCAAAAAUAAAUUUAAAAAACCAUUAUGCAGAGGCAAUUGAAGUAAACAAAACCACUAGAAUCACAAAAAUGAAAAGGACUUUAAGUGAUCACUACCAAAGCUACUCAGAAGGAAGCUUUUAAAAAGGAACAUUGCAUAAAGAAUGUCAUGAAUUGAGAAUGUGCAGAGUGCCAUGGACAAAAACAUCAUAAAGAUAAUAGCAGAUCCUGAUAUGAUGCUACUUUUUCUGGAAGCUUCCAAGGAAUACAUGCUAAAAGAUUGCUCUAUGUAAAAAUAUUCUGAGAUAUUUUGAAUCUUUGUCCUAAACGUAAUAAAAGAGUCCACUGUUGAACCAUGAGAGGCUAUAGGAUGCUUUUACCAAUUUUUGGAAAAGGCCUAAGGUGGUCUAAAAAUAAGCUGAAAGUUUUUUUUUUCCUUUCUAAGUCUAAACCAGAUUCUUAUACCUUAUAACUCCAAAAUGUCCAACAUGGUAAGAAGAUUUAUAUGCUGUAACAAAAAACACCAAGAAAUAAUAAAAGUCCAAGAAAACUUUCAACUGAGCAAGUCUAGUUCAUGCAACAAAGAAAAAUUCCACAGUAUAUAUUGUCUUUUCCUUUUGGGGUGAUGAAGACAAGAAAAAUGGCAUUAAGGUGAGAUACAUCAUAGCAAAUAUAAUUACUAAAUAAAAUAUAAUAUAGCUAGAAUGUGAGGAGUGUGAAGAUGAAGUGUAAAAUAAAGAUGAAGACAAAAAGACUGUAACUGAGAGAGUCUCAUGUUGAAGAUUCCAGUCUUGGAAACACUAAGAAAAAUAAGAAACAAGUAACAAAGCAGAUGAGUGACAUGAUUAUAAACAGAAUAAGGUGAUAGGGGUAACAGUGGGAACAGUGAAGAAAUUCAAGAGAUUUCAGGUCAGAAACAGAUAUUGAUUUGAUAUUGGUGAAAAGAAGAGAGCUUUCUGAUUUUGUUUUCUGAUUUUUAAUGUUCUUUCCAGGUUUUUUAAUUUAAUAUUUUCUGGCUUUAAAUAUUUAUUAUUUUUCUGCUCAGGUUUUUUAAUUUGGAUAAUGUGAUGAGCAGUGCUGCCAAUACUGGAAUUGAGAAGUAUAAAUUUUAUGCUUGGAUUGUUGGUAUAAUAAGUUAAUUUUUAUUCAUUUUGAAUUUUUGUGUUCCUCUGAAGCAUGAAUGAGAAGAAAUUCCUUAGGUUUUGUAUGCAGAAAAGGCAUCUAGAUUCAAAUGUGAAUUUGAGGGUUGUCAGCACAUAGAUAAUAAUUCACAAUGAUCAGUAAACUUAUUUUUUAAAAAUUUGUGCUAAUUGUGGUAGGAAAUAAACUGCAAAAAGCAUUUAUUAAUUCUA